ACUCCUACGGGAGGCAGCAGUGGGGAAUUUUGGACAAUGGGCGCAAGCCUGAUCCAGCAAUGCCGCGUGUGUGAAGAAGGCCUUCGGGUUGUAAAGCACUUUGUCAGGAAAGAAAUGCUUGGCUCUAAUACACCGCGGGUGAUGACGUAC
rnacentral:rRNA from 1 species